GACGAACGCUGGCGGCGUGCUUAACACAUGCAAGUCGAACGGAAAGGCCCUGCUUUUGUGGGGUGCUCGAGUGGCGAACGGGUGAGUAACACGUGAGUAACCUGCCCUUGACUUUGGGAUAACUUUAGGAAACUGGGGCUAAUACCGGAUAGGAGCUCCUGCUGCAUGGUGGGGGUUGGAAAGUUUCGGCGGUUGGGGAUGGACUCGCGGCUUAUCAGCUUGUUGGUGGGGUAGUGGCUUACCAAGGCUUUGACGGGUAGCCGGCCUGGGAGGGUGACCGGCCACAUGGGGACUGAGAUACGGCCCGGACUCCUACGGGAGGCAGCAGUGGGGAAUAUUGCACAAUGGGCGGAAGCCUGAUGCAGCAACGCCGCGUGCGGGAUGACGGCCUUCGGGUUGUAACCCGCUUUCGCCUGUGACGAAGCGUGAGUGACGGUAAUGGGUAAAGAAGCACCGGCUAACUACGUG
rnacentral:rRNA from 1 species